UACGUAGGGUGCGAGCGUUGUCCGGAAUUACUGGGCGUAAAGAGCUCGUAGGUGGUUUGUCGCGUUGUUCGUGAAAUCUCACGGCUUAACUGUGAGCGUGCGGGCGAUACGGGCAGACUGGAGUACUGCAGGGGAGACUGGAAUUCCUGGUGUAGCGGUGGAAUGCGCAGAUAUCAGGAGGAACACCGGUGGCGAAGGCGGGUCUCUGGGAUAUAACUGACGCUCAUGCACGAAAGCGUGGGGAGCAAACAGG
rnacentral:rRNA from 1 species